rnacentral:rRNA from 1 species
AGUGAACGCUGGCGGUAGGCCUAACACAUGCAAGUCGAACGGCAGCACAGUAAGAGCUUGCUCUUACGGGUGGCGAGUGGCGGACGGGUGAGGAAUACAUCGGAAUCUACUUUUUCGUGGGGGAUAACGUAGGGAAACUUACGCUAAUACCGCAUAUGACCUACGGGUGAAAGCAGGGGAUCUUCGGACCUUGCGCGAUUGAAUGAGCCGAUGUCGGAUUAGCUAGUUGGCGGGGUAAAGGCCCACCAAGGCGACGAUCCGUAGCUGGUCUGAGAGGAUGAUCAGCCACACUGGAGCUGAGACACGGUCCAGACUCCUACGGGAGGCAGCAGUGGGGAAUAUUGGACAAUGGGCGCAAGCCUGAUCCAGCCAUACCGCGUGGGUGAAGAAGGCCUUCGGGUUGUAAAGCCCUUUUGUUGGGAAAGAAAAGCAGCAGGUUAAUACCCCGCUGUUCUGACGGUACCCAAAGAAUAAGCACCGGCUAACUUCGUG